UCCCAAAAUAAAGGUUAUUUAUAUUUCAUACUUCUUAUCUUUUCAGCAGCCGCCAGUCCUCCUCCUCCUUCCCCCCACAGUUCUGUCAGUAUCUUCUCCUGGUAAGGAACUCACCUGAACACUAGUAAACAAUCUAGAACAUAUAAUAUCCAUUAAAUACAAGCGGCUGUUCCCACUGGAGAUGUCUGCGCUGGCUGCAGGCAGACUCAUAUAAGGGAAAGGAUGAGACACCAGGAAGUGAGUGGUUACUAUAGGAACACAAGCUGGCUGGAUCCUGGGAGUGUUUUCCUCCUCCAUAGCAGCUUUGUGGCCUGCUGGGGAAAGUGGGCUAUUUCUCAGACAAGGAAUCUGAUCAGAAGAGCCUGGAAGGCCCAGAGGCUGUGAUGUGGAACCUGGUGAGGACCACGGCUGGGGAUUCACUUCUGAGUCCAUCUAGUCACAGGUACCCAAGGUGAGGACGCACAGCUAGUGCCAUCAGCAGCAUGUCUGCCUCUCUGUCAUAGCAUCACAGUGUGGGGCUGUCCCAGGCGGCAGCUGCCCGGGGGAUCAUGAGUCACUUCUGUGCCAAGACAGUGGCAAUGUGGGGCAUCUCCUUACCACCUUUCCUGCCACUUGCUGGGUAAAGAACCUUGCGGGCAGGGCCACAGUGGAAGGACAAGACCCUUUUCCCACAUUAGGAGACAACCAACCAAAGACUGGGACUACACUAAGCAGGGAAACUCAAGGCCUUGCCAAAGAGCAAGCUAUACCCUACGUCAGUGAGUAUUAAAGUUUAAAGAAAUA